rnacentral:lncRNA from 1 species
AGUUUGGAAUGCAGUGAAGUAAGCAUAGCAGUCUUUAUAGCAUUUUACAAAUUUCUCUUGGCCUCAGAAAUCACAAAAUAAUCACACAAAGAAACCUAACCCUUUGCCUGCAGGACAAUGCAAGGUUUUUUAUUAAAAGAGGAAUUUAAAUUCCUUCUGUGCACAGACUGUUUUAACUAUAAAGACUUAGAAAAUUAAUUUU